rnacentral:lncRNA from 1 species
AGCCCUGCAGUCUGAUGAACAUUCUAGAGUAUGUGGACACAGAUGGACGCUCUGGCCACAGCUUGUUGACCUGGGACUCGGCGAUGUCUGCCCUCUCCUCCGCCUCAUCCAGCUCGUGCUGCACCUUGCGGAACUUGGACAGCCUCCAGCUCAUUCUCCAGCUCCCGGACCCGGGCCUCCAGCUUCUGCAGCUGCUUCUUGCCGCCCUUGAGGGCGAUCUGCUCUGCCUCGUCCAGACGGUGCUGCAAGUCCUUGAUGGUCUGCUCCAUGUUCUUCUUCAUGCGCUCCAGGUCAUCAUUGGCACGGACAGCAUCAUCCAGCUGGAUUUGAGUGUCCUGAGGAUCAGAAAAAUGAGUGGCCUCAUUGCGGCUGCGUGUCUCCGCAUCCAGGGAGGUCUGCAGGGAGUCCACCAUCCGCAGGUGGUUGCGCUUGGCCUGCUCCAUCUCCUCAUCCUUCUCUGCCAGCUUCCUUUCGAUCUCUGCCUUGAUCUGGUUGAACUCCAGCUGGGCGCGGAGGAUCUUGCCCUCCUCGUGCUCCAGGGAGGCCUGGAAAGGAUAUAGAUUUUGCAGGCAUACAGUCAGAGACCAGGGUGGAAGCAAGGGUGUGUCUAAAAAACCAUGGCACAGAGAACAUUUGAGAAUGGUAUACAUGACUCAGUAGGAGAUGCAGAGGAAGGAAAUGAGAAAGAGUGUGCACAAGAGAAAUGAAAGCAAGCUGAAGAGAAGGGGAUGCAGACUCCCAGGGGGGCGGAGGGAGUCAGCUUUGAAGACAAAGAGGAAAAUGAAAAGUGUUGCCAAGGAAACAGAGGCAAUGAAGCAGAGAGUGAAAGA